CAGUUGGGGGCGACCAGGCCAGCAGAGGGGAAGUUGGGGGCAACCAGGCCAACAGGGGAGGGUAGCUGGGGGCAUUAGGCAGACAGGCAUGUUAGUGGUUAGGAGCCAGUGGUCCUGGAUUGCGAGAGGGAUUUAUGGGCCUAAGCCGGCAG